UCUCCGUUGGUGAACCAGCGGAGGGAUCAUUACUGGAAUCGCAAGAUCCCACAACCCUGUGAACCUACCGAAACGUUGCCUCGGCGGGUGCCCGGCCUCUGCGCCGGGCGCUGCGCCCGCCGGCGGCCCCCUACUCUGUCUCUGCAGCGUAGCAUCUCAGAGUCCCAGAAAACAAGUCAAAACUUUCAACAACGGAUCUCUUGGCUCUA
rnacentral:misc_RNA from 1 species